UUCUGACUGAUAGUUUUUCUUUCCUGUUAAACCAUAGCUUAAUUUAUUGGAAAAGUAUUUAUGAUCUGUCAUCUUUCAGCCAGAUGUCCCUUUAGCUUCUAAGAAGCUUAGAAUUCUGAGAAACAUCUUCAGAGAGGGAGCAUAAUAACACUUUACUGAAUGACUUUUUCUUCUGGUGGUAGCAAAUACUUUGAGAAUUCUAAAAUGCUCUUCAACUGUUCUCUAAAAUUAAACUGUGAACAUCUGACUGCCAUGCAGCCUCCAUAUGUCAUUGUUGUGAUUGUCUCAGGUGUUUCCCUUGAACAGAGUUAGUCCCUCAAUCUCUUCAUUUUCCUCCCCUCCUCCUCCCCUUCUCCUCCCCCACCCUUCUCCUCUUCCCCCAGUCUGCUGCAUUCCUGUCUGCUGUGAAGAGUGGUGACAAACACUAAUCUGAACUAGACCACAGUCAUAUGAAGUCAGAAGGAGGACUUGGCCUUGUCUCAAACCUAAAGCAGAGGGGCUACUGAGGUCCUUACUUAGGAGAUUCCAAAAAGAGAUAUGACCGCCAGCGUUUCUUCAGUCCUCUCUGACAAAGAAGACGAUGCAUCUUCAUGGUGAUCUCAGCGCUUCUGACGCCAUUUGGAAAUUCGGAAACGGCUCAAUUAUAUCUGUGAGCCAUAACUUAAUCAUCUCUGAAGCUGUUUCCAGGAGGACAUUUUAAAUUUCUGUUAUGAUUAUCAGUGGCAUAUACAAGAAAUAACCUAAGGUUCUGCAGAUACAAAGAUGAAGACACCAUCGAUGCUUUGGAAUAGCUUGGAGCUUAGUCAAUACGGUGCUCAUGAGAACAAGAUGAAAACCCAGCAGGCUAACCACUAAAGGGCAAAGUGUACUGUGCACGCAGGGGCUCUGGAAUUUGGGAAAGGCCUCCCAGCAGAAGAGGAGCCUCAGCUGAGCCUCUAAGGAUGGUUGAAUGCAAGUUAAUCAGGUACACUGACUCAGAAACUCUGGGGGCAGAGACCCCGCAAUCUGCUGCUACCAGCCUUCCAGGUGAUCCUCAUGCAGCUAAGACCUGUUGCAUCAUCAUGAGUUAUGUAUGUCCUUGGAACUCACACAUGACCAGUGGAAGUGCCUAUCUGGUAUUAGAAUGGAGAAUCAAAAGUGAUUUUCAUACCAAGAAAAAGUUAGGCUUUGUUCUAAACAUGCUUUUCAUGGAAGUAUAUUCAGUGGGUGAUCUAAGGUUAUGUAUGAUUACAGUGUCUUUAUAGGUGAUAAUUCCAUAGUUCCAGAAUGACUAUAAAAGGUCAGACUCAGAAUCUGGAGCUAACUAUGGCAUUUAGCAAAACAAGAUAAAGAUGAUUCUUUUUUGUGUAUGCAAGCACAGUUGUUAUAUGGGAAGCAUGUUUCACUUGUACCGUCAUCUUCCAAAGGAAAAUCUUUGCUGAUAGUGCUGGAAUUUUCAUUUCUCUGCGCCUUACAUUAUACCAGUAGUGUCACGGCUAUGUUAAUACAUAUCCAAAAGUUGCUUUCGUUUACAUAGUCUAUAAAAUUUCUGAAAUGCAGUCUAAGUUGCUGUUAAAACCAGCAUUUCUCAGAUUCUUUCCAUUGUCCUCCAUGAGUAAUCCAAUAUACAUGGAAGGAUAAAAGAGUAAACACUUUUGUGAUAGUCCAAAUUUUUCCAAUGGAAUUUUAAACAAUUUGACAGUUCAGUCUUGUUAAAAAGUGAUAUGAAAUAAAUGCUUCUUAGCAAACAGUUGUCCAGUAAAUAUUAUAAUUCUGUCUCAUAUUCUCACAGUGGAUUGCUUUCUGAGUCUUUCAGUGGAAUUCUUUCAAAUUAGAGCUCAAUGAUCUUCUUUAUAUUUUAUCCAAGGUUUGAAAUACAUGAACCUGUCUCUACUUACUUGAACAAUGGCCUCUAUUAUGGUGUCUUUUUCUUUAAAUCCAAAUAUUAUACUCAGCAUUUUAGGAAUUCCCUAUUCCAAAUACAGGCAAUUAAAUUGUCUAUAAGUUAUUCAGAGCCCUAGAAAACGAAAUGAAAUAGGAGUUUGUACUUUGAAAUGAGUUCAAAAAUGUGUACCAUUUGUCAAUGCUAGACUCUGUCAAAUAGUCCUCAUUAUCUUCUGGUUCUGCUGUUAACAGACGAAAUAAUCUGACACAGACUUCUCUAACAAAAAUAUUUCCUUCUAGGAGAAGUCUGGCCUUUCUCAGCAAUCAGGAUUCAAAUUCUUGACCUUGAAGAUGGGAGAGAGAACAGAAUGCUUCUUGGUGCCACUCUAAGCUGGAUGAAAUUUGAAAACAUCCCCCAGGAUGAAUAGGGGAACAUGCAUGGAAAUUUGCAUUGCUUUUAGCAAAAUCUAGGACUAAUUUGGAGCGGAUAGCCUGGUACUCCAGAAUAAGAGAAAACCAAGUCUGGAACUUUGGAACCCCUGGAGAUGUUGCCUGGGGACAGGGCUCAGAUGCAAGGUUCACAUCACUGGCCAAAGAAGGCAAGAUGAUUCUGAGUUGAGACCAGAACAAAAGUGGUCAUCAUCCUUUCCUGUUCAGUGACUGUUUACCCCAACCUCCUUUGCAUUUGCCCUUUUAAUUUAGGAUCCUGAAAGUGUGAUUCUGUUCCCACCCUCUCGUAAACUUCAGUAAAACAAGGAAGUAAACAAGUGUUUAUUGAACCAACUUGAAGGAAUGAAAGAAUGGUGGUCUCCUUAAUCAUUUCAGAAUACUUGAAUAUUAACCCAAAUGAAUUUCUAAUUAGUGGACUUUGAGACAGUGUGAAGAAAGUGUCUGGGAGCAUGAGCCUCUUUCUAAGAGCAAAGGGGCUGGGGUUACAAACUCAUUUCUUUUCUCCCCAGCUGCCUUGUCCACCUCUUUCCACAUAUUAUCCUUCUUGGCAGGGAGCAGGGGGGAUAGGGUAUCCAUCAACGCCACUGUUUUCCUCUUCCAUCAGAUCACCAUUUCCUCUUCCUUGUCUGGUGCCUGAAACCCUCACUGUCUGUCUCCAUCUAUCAGUGAAAGGGUGGGAUGGCAGAGUGGGAAUUCCCUACUUAACACUUCUACUUAGAUAUCCUAGAGGGACUAUAAAUACCAUCCGAAAAAUAAACUCCCUACAUCCAUACCUGC